rnacentral:lncRNA from 1 species
UCUCAGAAUACAUCCAGGUCCCCCCCACCAGGACUGUGCUAGCCUAUUCCUGGAGCAAAGCAUCAUGCCAGGGGCCUCAGCUCUCCUAGUGUGACAUAAAGGGCCUGCUUGAGACCUGUGAGCUUGAGAGGGCUGAGGGUGCUCCCCACACCUUGAUGUCUAGAGGGAUAGGAGCAUGUGUGUGCAUCUGUUUGGGGAGUCAGAGGAUGUGAGAAUUUCCACAUGGUCAAGAUGCACUUUAGAGUAGAUGCUGGGGCAUCUCUGGGCAGAGCCCUUGGCCAUGUGGUGACAGUCAGGAAAGUAGGGGCGUGGCAUGAAGCAGGGCUCAGCUUAAUACUAGUGGAAAGACCAAUGUGUUAGCAGGGCGCAGUACUGACUGUAUCCACACAUGAACCAUGUCAGAUUCACAGGGUCCUGUCUAUCUCCCUGUCACCCCUUGUACUUUCUCCAGUGGCCUCACAGCCAAUACCAAAUGACAGCAGAACUGUGUAACUCCUGAGAAAUGGCACAGAGAUCUCUCACAGGUGUGCUGGGCCAGACUGGUAGUGUUAUAGAGGAGUUGAACCCACAGGUCACUCCUGGAUGGUUGUCACCCCUACUUCUGCUCGGUCUCACGGCCCCUUGGACUGUCAACCUCGUCCUCACCCCUAGUACAGCCACCGUGCUCUGAGGUCCACCAGCUCCCGAUCCUAGCCUGCCCUACUGCUCUGCACCCCAACCCCGCAAGGGACUCUCCAGCAUUAGCCCCCAUUGUCUUGGGAAACUCUGGGGCACCGGCUGCUCAGAAGUCACUUUAUUUCAGGUUCGUCUCUGUAAGGCAUAGCGAUCUGCCUCUCUGUGGAUCCCAGGGCUGAGUCUAUGCACAGAUGAGCCCAUGGAUAUGUGGACACAGAGACAGCAGGGAUGCCUGUCCUCCAUCAGUGUGGGUCACGAGCAAGCAGGGAGCUAGCUAAAACUGGGGAAUGCCUAAGGCUGUCCUGCUGAGCUGUCAGCCAGUUUAGCUGACUGAGGUUCCUCCUGGAGGAACAUUACGCAGUUCUCAGAGUCCCCUUGUCAAGGCUAAGAGCUGGAUAACUAGGAAUGUCCACCCAGAGUCCAGCUGGCCAACUGGGUACUUGCAGGUGGCCCUCCUGCCCAGGUAGGUCCCCAGGCGUGUUGUAGGUGACAGUAGGCUUGCAGCCAUGAGAACCUGACAGGAUUUGCUGAAGUGGCCAGGGCUGCCUUCUUGGCUAAGAGCUUCUAGAACAGUACGUGCUUCCAUGGCAUUUGGCAAUAUGGUUGGUGGUGGAAGGCAGUAAAAGAACACAAGAUCUGCCCGGAAGCCUCUCAGGCUGCGCGGAGCUCUGAGCCGGUCUCAGUGUCGGAGCUCUCUGAGUCUCAGGAGUGGUGUGGCCCAGGACAGGGGGUCUGAGGGAGAAGGUGGAAAUCUGCAGACUCCGUAUUUGGCUCUUAGUGGAAGUCAGUUCUGUGAGCAUCCAGAGCCCAGGGUGGAAUAGCAUAGAGUUUGCAAAGAAGGGAAAAGAUCCCAGGAGCACUGAUCCAGUAUGGCAAGAUGGGCAGUGCCCAGUGACUGGCAGGGAGCUGGGGAAGGAAUAGGGAUGGGCCCAGGAUUGCGCCAAUGAUGUCAUGACCUGGCACCUUUCCUGCUUUGGAAGUAAGUCAGUAUUCUGAGCUCACAUGCCCAGGUGGUCCAUUGGAGAGAUGCAGGAGCCCGUCUCAGCCAUGGGAUGGGUUGAAGCUAUGGCACAUACUUAAGGUGGUGGGAGUUACAUGUAGCGGCCUGGGGAGGUCAGACCCUCAGGGACCAGAUCAUCUACGUCACUCAGGAGCUCCCGUUCGCUGGCCGAAUUGGUGUUCUGAAGACGCCGGAGGCGGGCCUGGACCUGCUCCUGCUCCCGCUUCAGCUCCAGGUAGGAGUGAGAGAACGUGUGGAAGAUGGAUGUGGCUGGGAAAGCCAUGAUAAGGAUCCCGCUAAGGAUGCUGCUCAGAGCCACCAUCUGUCCCGGGACGCUGCGAGGGACCAUGUCCCCAUAGCCCACGGUCGUCAUGGAGAUGAUGGCCCACCAAUAGGAUGCGGGGAUGCUAGUGAACUCCAGGACCCUUCCGGACUCAUUCUCAGCUACAUAGACCAACGGUGAGAAGAGGGUAACCGCCACAGCCAGGAAGAGCAUCAGGAGACCAAACUCUCGGGCGCAGCGGCGCACAGUGAGGCCCAGCGUCUGCAGCCCCAGGGAGUGGCGAGCCAGGCGCAUUACGUAGAGGAUGCGUAGUGCCCGCAGAACACGCAGCACUAACCCCACUUUCUCCAGGGUCUCUUACAGGUCUGGAGAUUGGCAAGUGGGUGAGGCCGGCUGGCCAGCAAGCUCUAAGGGUCUGCCUGCGUCUGGCCCCCAGUGCUAGGAUUACAGGUGUAUGCACAGCACCAGGCCUUGUAAGGUGGAUUCCGGUAUUCUGCCUCCAGUCUUUGUGCUUCCUAGUUCCUAACCAACUGAGCCAUCUUCCCAGGCCCUAGAGCAGUGGUUCUCAACCUUCCUAAUGCUGCAACCCUUCAGUACAGCGAUGGCAGUGAUCCCCAACCACAAAAUUAUUUCACUGCUUUUUCAUAACCCUAACCUUGCUA